rnacentral:rRNA from 1 species
AUUGAACGCUGGCGGUAUGCCUAACACAUGCAAGUCGAACGAGGUAGCAAUACCUAGUGGCGGACGGGUGAGGAAUACGUAGGGAUCUGCCCUUAAGUGGGGAUAACCCGGGGAAACCCGGAUUAAUACCGCAUGAUCUCGCAAGAGCAAAGAGGGGGACCGCAAAGGCCUCUCGCUUUUUGGAGGAACCUACGUCGGAUUAGCUAGUUGGUGAGGUAAUGGCUCACCAAGGCGACGAUCCGUAACUGGUCUGAGAGGAUGAUCAGUCACACCGGAACUGAGACACGGUCCGGACUCCUACGGGAGGCAGCAGUGGGGAAUAUUGGACAA